rnacentral:rRNA from 1 species
UACGUAGGGGGCGAGCGUUAUCCGGAUUCAUUGGGUUUAAAGGGUGCGUAGGUUGUUUUAUAAGUUAGCGGUGAAAUACCGAUGCUCAACAUCGGGGCUGCCGCUAAUACUGUAAGACUCGAGUUCAGACGAGGUAGGCGGAAUAAGUUAAGUAGCGGUGAAAUGCUUAGAUAUAACUUAGAACUCCGAUAGCGAAGGCAGCUUACCAGACUGCGACUGACGCUGAAGCACGAGAGCGUGGGUAGCGAACAGG